GACGAACGCUGGCGGCGUGCCUAACCCAUGCAAGUCGAACGAGCAGAUCUCUUCGGAGUGAAGCGAGUGGCGGACGGGUGAGUAACGCGUGAACAACCAACCCUGCACAGGGGGACAACAGCUGGAAACGGCUGCUAAUACCGCAUAAGACCACAGAGUCGCAUGGCUUAGGGGUCAAAGCAGAAAUCCGGUGCAGGACGGGUUCGCGUCCCAUUAGCUAGUAGGCGGGGUAACGGCCCACUUAGGCAACGAUGGGUAGCCGAGCUGAGAGGCUGAUCGGCCACACUGGGACUGAGAUACGGCCCAGACUCCUACGGGAGGCAGCAGGGGGGAAUAUUGGGCAAUGGGGGAAACCCUGACCCAGCAACGCCGCGUGAAGGAAGAAGGCCUUCGGGUUGUAAACUUCUGUGACAGGGGACGAAGAAAAUGACGGUACCCUGAGAGGAAGCUCCGGCAAACUACGUGCCAGCCGCCGCUGUAAAAC
rnacentral:rRNA from 1 species